rnacentral:tRNA from 1 species
AGACAACAAAAUGUUUAAUAUUAUUAUUUUGUCACCUUAGGUCGAUCGGUAUCUCACGUUUUUAAUUUAUUAAGAAUUUCAUUUCCUAAGUUUUUCUAGGUCACACCCAUUAUUUUUCCUGGGCCAUUAGCUCAGGUGGUUAGAGCGCACCCCUGAUAAGGGUGAGGUCCCUGGUUCAAGUCCAGGAUGGCCCAUAUCUCUAUGUUGGGGGUAUAGCUCAGUUGGUAGAGCGCCUGCUUUGCAAGCAGGAUGUCAGCGGUUCGAGUCCGCUUACCUCCACUGAUUACCACCUCUUCCAUAACCGGUAGAAAGGAAAUUUUUUGAGUUGUGAUCAAAUUCUGAAAGAAUCUAGCUUCCUAAUGAAAUCAUUAAGAUGCUGGACUCAUUGAAUUAAUUUCAUUGUUUUCAGAGAACCUUGACAACUGCAUAGAUUAUUUUUAAAGACAAUAAGCAUCUUUAAUGAUGCAGAUUUAUUAUUUGUGCGAAUGCAUUAAUAACAAUUCUAUUAAGCUGAUGCUUCAAUUUUUGAAGUUAUU